rnacentral:rRNA from 1 species
CCUACGGGUGGCAGCAGUGGGGAAUCUUGCGCAAUGGGCGAAAGCCUGACGCAGCGACGCCGUGUGCGGGAAGAAGGCCUUCGGGUUGUAAACCGCUUUCAGGAGGGAAGAAGCCACUCGGGUUAAUAGCCUAGAGGGUGACGGUACCUCCAGAAGAAGCCCCGGCUAACUACGUGCCAGCAGCCGCGGUAAUACGUAGGGGGCUAGCGUUGUCCGGAAUUAUUGGGCGUAAAGAGCGUGUAGGCGGCCGAGUAAGUCCGGUGUGAAAACUCGAGGCUCAACUUCGAGAUGUCAUCGGAAACUAUUCGGCUAGAGUCCGGAAGAGGAGAGUGGAAUUCCUGGUGUAGCGGUGAAAUGCGCAGAUAUCAGGAAGAACACCUAUGGCGAAAGCAGCUCUCUGGGACGGUACUGACGCUGAGACGCGAAAGCGUGGGGAGCGA